rnacentral:rRNA from 1 species
AAUGGGGGCAACCCUGAUCCAGCCAUGCCGCGUGAGUGAAGAAGGCCUUCGGGUUGUAAAGCUCUUUCGGCCGGGAAGAAAUCGCAUGGGUGAAUACCCUGUGUGGAUGACGGUACCGGAACAAGAAGCACCGGCUAACUACGUGCCAGCAGCCGCGGUAAUACGUAGGGUGCGAGCGUUAAUCGGAAUUACUGGGCGUAAAGCGUGCGCAGGCGGUUUGGUAAGACAGGCGUGAAAUCCCCGGGCUUAACCUGGGAAUGGCGCUUGUGACUGUGUGGCUUGAGUUCGGCAGAGGGGGUGGAAUUCCACGUGUAGCAGUGAAAUGCGUAGAGAUGUGGAGGAACACCGAUGGCGAAGGCAGCCCCCUGGGCCGUGACUGACGCUCAUGCACGAAAGCGUGGGGAGCAAA